rnacentral:rRNA from 1 species
GACGAACGCUGGCGGCGUGCUUAACACAUGCAAGUCGAACGGAAAGGCCCUGCUUUUGUGGGGUGCUCGAGUGGCGAACGGGUGAGUAACACGUGAGUAACCUGCCCUUGACUUUGGGAUAACUUCAGGAAACUGGGGCUAAUCCCGGAUAGGAGCUCCUGCUGCAUGGUGGGGGUUGGAAAGUUUCGGCGGUUGGGGAUGGACUCGCGGCUUAUCAGCUUGUUGGUGGGGUAGUGGCUUACCAAGGCUGUGACGGGUAGCCGGCCUGAGAGGGGGAACGGCCACAUUGGGACUGAGAGACGGCCCAGACUCCUACGGGAGGCAGCAGGGGGGAAUAUUGCACAAUGGGCGGAAGCCUGAUGCAGCAACGCCGCGUGCGGGAUGACGGCCUUCGGGUUGUAAACCGCUUUCGCCUGUGACGAAGCGUGAGUGACGGUAAUGGGUAAAGAAGCACCGGCUAACUACGUG